CCUACGGGAGGCAGCAGUAGGGAAUCUUCCACAAUGGACGAAAGUCUGAUGGAGCAACGCCGCGUGAGCGAUGAAGGCCUUCGGGUCGUAAAGCUCUGUUGUUAGGGAAGAACAAGUGCCGGAGUAACUGCCGGUACCUUGACGGUACCUAACCAGAAAGCCACGGCUAACUACGUGCCAGCAGCCGCGGUAAUACGUAGGUGGCAAGCGUUGUCCGGAAUUAUUGGGCGUAAAGCGCGCGCAGGCGGUCCUUUAAGUCUGAUGUGAAAGCCCACGGCUCAACCGUGGAGGGUCAUUGGAAACUGGGGGACUUGAGUGCAGAAGAGGAAAGCGGAAUUCCACGUGUAGCGGUGAAAUGCGUAGAGAUGUGGAGGAACACCAGUGGCGAAGGCGGCUUUCUGGUCUGUAACUGACGCUGAGGCGCGAAAGCGUGGGGAGCAAACAGGAUUAGAUACCCUGGUAGUCCACGCCGUAAACGAUGAGUGCUAAGUGUUAGAGGGUUUCCGCCCUUUAGUGCUGCAGCUAACGCAUUAAGCACUCCGCCUGGGGAGUACGGCCGCAAGGCUGAAACUCAAAGGAAUUGACGG
rnacentral:rRNA from 1 species